rnacentral:rRNA from 1 species
AGAGAAGCGACCUCGCGAGAGCAAGCGGACCUCAUAAAGUGCGUCGUAGUCCGGAUUGGAGUCUGCAACUCGACUCCAUGAAGUCGGAAUCGCUAGUAAUCGUGGAUCAGAAUGCCACGGUGAAUACGUUCCCGGGCCUUGUACACACCGCCCGUCACACCAUGGGAGUGGGUUGCAAAAGAAGUAGGUAGCUUAACCUUCGGGAGGGCGCUUACCACUUUGUGAUUCAUGACUGGGGUGAAGUCGUAACAAGGUAACCGUAGGGGAACCUGCGGUUGGAUCACCUCCUUACCUGAAAGAA